rnacentral:rRNA from 1 species
CAGCAGCCGCGGUAAUACGGAGGGUGCAAGCGUUAAUCGGAAUUACUGGGCGUAAAGCGCACGCAGGCGGUCUGUCAAGUCGGAUGUGAAAUCCCCGGGCUCAACCUGGGAACUGCAUCCGAAACUGGCAGGCUUGAGUCUCGUAGAGGGGGGUAGAAUUCCAGGUGUAGCGGUGAAAUGCGUAGAGAUCUGGAGGAAUACCGGUGGCGAAGGCGGCCCCCUGGACGAAGACUGACGCUCAGGUGCGAAAGUUUUGUUUUAUUAAACAGGAUUAGAUACCCUGGUAGUCCACGCCGUAAACGAUGUCGACUUGGAGGUUGUGCCCUUGAGGCGUGGCUUCCGGAGCUAACGCGUUAAGUCGACCGCCUGGGGAGUACGGCCGCAAGGUUAAAACUCAAA